rnacentral:lncRNA from 1 species
UGGAGACCUAUACAUCAACUCUGAGAUCAAUACUGAUCUCUCUCAUGUUCGGUCCAAUCUAAUAUUAAACUGGGAAAAAAUGGAAUUAUUUGAAUGGAGCAGGAUGAAUGACUCUCCCAAGCAACCUAGUAUCAGCUAUUAGAAUGGAGCAUGUGGAUGAUUUGUUGACAUUAUGCAAACAGCAUGGAAUAGCAGUCAUUCAUCUGUAGUACUGUUUUAAGCAUGAUGUUGGCCAACUUUGGAUACCUUGGUACAAGAUGCUGUUGAGUCAAGAAGUAAAAGCAGAGAAGAGCAAUUAAAAUAAACUCACCAGGGACUCUGACUUAGUACGACUCUUGCAUUUGUGACAGGCAAGAAGCAACAGAAAGGAGAUCUGAUGAUGGUCAUCUAUGUGUGGCAGCUGUUUGCUCUGCUGAUGAAGAUUCAGACUCCCAUCUUUUUAGGAGAUAGCACAGGCCAGCCAGUUCAGGAAAGAAUUCAAUGCUUUGCAGAUGGAUGGAUGUUAAAAUGUGUGCAAAUGAAAUGUACAGUGCAGUCUCCGAGAAGCCGAUCAGUUUGUGUAUUCUGUAUAUACUGCUUCAGUGCAUGCUGAAGGCUGAAUCUAUAGGUUGAAUAGAAUUGAUUUUCAUAGAAGCAAUGUUUUACUGCUGUUUUUCUUGUGGUGAUUCUUCUAGCUUUGUUUAGAGAUCUUCAUAGAAAAUAUUUGAUUAAUAAAGAGCCGUGCAAUAUCA